rnacentral:rRNA from 1 species
AUUGAACGCUGGCGGCAUGCCUUACACAUGCAAGUCGAACGGUAACGGGCCUUCGGGUGCCGACGAGUGGCGCACGGGUGAGUAAUACAUCGGAACGUGCCCGAUCGUGGGGGAUAACGAGGCGAAAGCUUUGCUAAUACCGCAUACGAUCUACGGAUGAAAGCAGGGGACCGCAAGGCCUUGCGCGGACGGAGCGGCCGAUGGCAGAUUAGGUAGUUGGUGGGAUAAAAGCUUACCAAGCCGACGAUCUGUAGCUGGUCUGAGAGGAUGAUCAGCCACACUGGGACUGAGACACGGCCCAGACUCCUACGGGAGGCAGCAGUGGGGAAUUUUGGACAAUGGGCGCAAGCCUGAUCCAGCCAUGCCGCGUGCAGGAUGAAGGCCUUCGGGUUGUAAACUGCUUUUGUACGGAACGAAAAGCCUUCUUUUAAUACAGGAGGGUCAUGACGGUACCGUAAGAAUAAGCACCGGCUAAUUACGUG